CCUUGCCCUCAGGUGAGAUCAUCUGCCAAUGAGAUAAGACUGUAUUCCUGACCAUGAUGUGAAAAGAUGUCAGACACACCUCAUUCUACCCCCUCAUUUAGGAAAAACUGACCAGCAUUAACAUUACAAUAGAGAUCAUAUAACUGCCAAAACAGACUAUUUUGUGGCGACAAGAUACCAAAUUCUAACCUGAUUCUGGGAUAGCAUCACCGUGAUAGGAAGGACACAAAGUCCAGGAGACUUGCAUUUGGGGCUGGAGUGCAAUGGCACGAUCUCGGCUCACCGCAACCUCUACCUCCUGCAACCCAGAGAUUUACUUCUUGUCUACGAGGAACAAUGAGCCCCUGGCCCAACCUGUGGAACACAGGCCAUGCAAGUGAUUAAGGCCCUGAGUUUUGGAUUCAAUGAAUGUUGCCACGUGGAGGUUGUUAAGGGGAGGACGUCCCGUGAAAAUGCUGUAAAAGCUGCAGACUGCUUGCAAGCAGUUAGCGUUUUCCUGCCCAGCCCGAUGCUGCUGGGCUGUGCGUUUAUCUUGCUCAGCCCAUGUCCCUGGACUUGUCCAGCCAACUGCCGCUGCGCCAUUUCUGGAGGCUUCUGAGGUGAGACCUGGGAACGCCAAGCAGAAAAAGCGGGAAAAUCAUUCUUCAGGGAGCUUGUGUGCCUGCCUGAAAAUUCGGCUAGGCAUUCGUCGUUGACAGGUACACUAUUUCUUCUGUGAAAAGUAGCCCAUAAAUGUAAUAAAUCUUUUCUUAAUGCAGUAACA
rnacentral:lncRNA from 13 species